rnacentral:rRNA from 1 species
CGUAUAUUAAAAUUGUUGCAGUUAAAAAGCUCGUAGUUGAAUUUCUGCUACAUUGCCUAUUCUCCUUUACGAGUUUGGGUCUUUUGUGGCUUAUCUGGGUUCGCUUGCGUUCCCGGUGUUUUACUUUGAGAAAAUUAGAGUGCUCAAAGCAGGCUUUUGCCUUGAAUAGUUUAGCAUGGAAUAAUAAAGUAGGACUUUGGUUCUAUUUUGUUGGUUUUAGGUACCAAAGUAAUGGUUAAUAGGAACAGUUGGGGGCAUUCGUAUUUAACUGUCAGAGGUGAAAUUCUU